rnacentral:rRNA from 1 species
UACGUAGGGUGCAAGCGUUAAUCGGAAUUACUGGGCGUAAAGCGUGCGUAGACGGCUAUCUAAGUCGGGUGUGAAAGCCCCGGGCUCAACCUGGGAAUUGCAUUCGAGACUGAAUAGCUAGGGUACGGUAGAGGGAAGUGGAAUUUCCGGUGUAGCGGUGAAAUGCGUAGAUAUCGGAAGGAACAUCAGUGGCGAAAGCGACUUCCUGGACCAGUACCGACGUCAGGCACGAAAGCGUGGGGAGCAAACAGG